GCCGGGGUGGCGAAAUGGUAGACGCACGGGACUCAAAAUCCCGCGGUGGUAACACUGUGUCGGUUCGAGUCCGACCCCCGGCACCA
rnacentral:tRNA from 1 species